GCAACUCUGUAGUUUUUAAAUAUAGCAGAAACUCAGCAAUUUAAAAAUAUCUCUUUUGAUGGUAAAUUUGAGGUGUGAUACUGGCAUUUAAUUGUCAUUUUCUUAUUAAUUGGGAUCAGUUGCAGGUGGUAGGUAAAAUAUUCAUUUAACAAGAAAAGUGAAAUUCAAGGUGAUAAAGGAUAUAACAACCACUUGCCACCAAAGAAAAUCUCCAUCUCUGUAAAGAUUUUCAUUCUAAUUCCUGGCUAAAUCAAAGGACCAAGAAACUAAACAAAACAAAAUAGAAAGACAUCUCAAAAUUUAUGCACUGAACUCCAUUUCAUAUUAAUGCCAAAAUAUGCUUCUGUUGAUUUAUUAAUAAUAGCAACCUUUUCCUGAACUUUUAUGUAAACUGUUGGACCAAUUUUUAUUUGAAAGUACCAGGAGUGGAUUUUCCAGUUAGAAUUCAGUUGCUUCUCAGAAAGCAACAUGUUCAAAGUUCUAUCACAUACUAGAAACUGACUUUCUCCUUCUCUAUAAUCACAUGGAAAAAAACUAAAGAAUGCUUUGCAAUCAGAUUGCCCUGAUCAUUCUGCCCUACAGUCAUCAUUUUUUGUUAAUAACAAUGAUAAAGUCAUAAGUGUUGAAAACAGUUUCCCACUCAAUAUUUUCUUUCUAUAUUUUUAGCAACAUCAUUGAGAGACCCCUGGAGAGAGCAACAUUUAUGGAGCAGGAUUUGGAUUUCCAGGCAGACACUGAGCAGGCAAAACAGCAAGGUAUAGAACUGUUUGCUCUGGAAGGCAAGCCAGACCCCUGGAAGCAGAACUGAAGGGAAGACUGGUCCCUCCUCAUCUCCUCUGACCCGUGGAACAGUUGCUGUCCAGUUCUCCAUAAGUCACAGAGGCCGAAUGCUCACUUGGACUAUAUGGCAGAAUAAUGCCCAAAGUCCCAUUUUGCUAAUGGUUUUCAAAUUUCAAUUAAGUCUUUGAUAUCAUCAAUAAAGUAAUUUUGACAAAUUUUCUU
rnacentral:lncRNA from 1 species